AGACCCGAAACCCGGUGAUCUAGCCAUGGGCAGGUUGAAGGUUGGGUAACACUAACUGGAGGACCGAACCGACUAAUGUUGAAAAAUUAGCGGAUGACCUGUGGCUGGGGGUGAAAGGCCAAUCAAACCGGGAGAUAGCUGGUUCUCCCCGAAAGCUAUUUAGGUAGCGCCUCGUGAAUUCAUCUCCGGGGGUAGAGCACUGUUUCGGCUAGGGGGCCAUCCCGGCUUACCAACCCGAUGCAAACUGCGAAUACCGGAGAAUGUUAUCACGGGAGACACACGGCGGGUGCUAACGUCCGUCGUGAAGAGGGAAACAACCCAGACCGCCAGCUAAGGUCCCAAAGUCAUGGUUAAGUGGGAAACGAUGUGGGAAGGCCCAGACAGCCAGGAUGUUGGCUUAGAAGCAGCCAUCAUUUAAAGAAAGCGUAAUAGCUCACUGGUCGAGUCGGCCUGCGCGGAAGAUGUAACGGGGCUAAACCAUGCACCGAAGCUGCGGCAGCGAACGUAUCACCCAAGACAACUUUACGGAGUUGACGAUUGACGGAGCGAAGCGACGUCAAAGCGUUCAUUAAAGUCGAGUUGGCUUAGGGAUACGUUCGUUGGGUAGGGGAGCGUUCUGUAAGCCUGUGAAGGUGUGUCGUGAGGCAUGCUGGAGGUAUCAGAAGUGCGAAUGCUGACAUAAGUAACGAUAAAGCGGGUGAAAAGCCCGCUCGCCGGAAGACCAAGGGUUCCUGUCCAACGUUAAUCGGGGCAGGGUGAGUCGACCCCUAAGGCGAGGCCGAAAGGCGUAGUCGAUGGGAAACGGGUUAAUAUUCCCGUACUUGGUGUUACUGCGAAGGGGGGACGGAGAAGGCUAUGUUGGCCGGGCGACGGUUGUCCCGGUUUAAGCGUGUAGGUGUGUGUUCCAGGUAAAUCCGGUUCACUUUAACACUGAGGCGUGACGACGAGGCACUACGGUGCUGAAGCAACAAAUGCCCUGCUUCCAGGAAAAGCCUCUAAGCAUCAGGUAACAUCAAAUCGUACCCCAAACCGACACAGGUGGUCAGGUAGAGAAUACCAAGGCGCUUGAGAGAACUCGGGUGAAGGAACUAGGCAAAAUGGUGCCGUAACUUCGGGAGAAGGCACGCUGACACGUAGGUGAAGUGAUUUACUCAUGGAGCUGAAGUCAGUCGAAGAUACCAGCUGGCUGCAACUGUUUAUUAAAAACACAGCACUGUGCAAACACGAAAGUGGACGUAUACGGUGUGACGCCUGCCCGGUGCCGGAAGGUUAAUUGAUGGGGUCAGCG
rnacentral:rRNA from 3 species